rnacentral:rRNA from 1 species
GGCUUAGAGUUUGAUCCUGGCUCAGAUUGAACGCUGGCGGCAUGCCUUACACAUGCAAGUCGAACGGUAACAGGUCUUCGGAUGCUGACGAGUGGCGAACGGGUGAGUAAUACAUCGGAACGUGCCCGAUCGUGGGGGAUAACGAGGCGAAAGCUUUGCUAAUACCGCAUACGAUCUACGGAUGAAAGCGGGGGAUCUUCGGACCUCGCGCGGACGGAGCGGCCGAUGGCAGAUUAGGUAGUUGGUGGGAUAAAAGCUUACCAAGCCGACGAUCUGUAGCUGGUCUGAGAGGAUGAUCAGCCACACUGGGACUGAGACACGGCCCAGACUCCUACGGGAGGCAGCAGUGGGGAAUUUUGGACAAUGGGCGAAAGCCUGAUCCAGCCAUGCCGCGUGCAGGAUGAAGGCCUUCGGGUUGUAAACUGCUUUUGUACGGAACGAAAAGCCUCUUUCUAAUAG